rnacentral:lncRNA from 1 species
AGGCGGGACUCCGGAGUGGGCGGGGCUCCGGCUCUAGGCAGGCUGCUAUGUUGGAUCAAGUAAAGUUCUAAACGCUGUGCACCUAUUUAGUACUGACUAGUACUAGGAAGUGUAUUUGCUUUUCGGAGAUGAUGGGAUCUAAAUUUUGUUUAUACCACUUCACGCCCAUUAGGAUGGCUACUAGCAAAACCCCCAGAAAUUAGUGUUGGUGAAGAUGUAGAGAAAUUGAAGCCCUUGUAUAUUGCUGUUGGGAAUGUAAAAUGGUGCAGCCAUGUGAUGAACAAUACUGCGGUUCCUCAACAAAUCAGUUAUAUGAUCCAGCAUUUUCUUUUCUGGGUAUAUAACCCAAAAGAAUUUAAAACAGGGUGUACAAGAAGAAAUGUUUUUACACUCACGUUGACAGCGGCACUAUUCACAAUAGCCAAAAGGGUGGAGGCAAUUUAAGUGUCCAAAAACAGAUACAUGGAUAAGCAAAAUGUUGUCUGUGCAUGCAAGGGAACAUUUUUUAGCCUGAACAAAGAACGAAAUUCUGACACUUGCUACUACAUGGAUGAACCUGGAGGACACUAUGCUGAGGGAGACAUUCUCCGCUUACAUCUGGCCAGAGUUAAAGCCGCUCAACUCCUGACCACCACCCCGGCCCAACAGUUCACUUUCCUCUUACUUAAUCAAGGAAUUGUCCAGCAGGCGUGAACCCAUUCAGUUACAAAGCCUUCCUUGUCUUUCAAGCGACGAGGUAACUAUACUCUUCAAGGUCUGUUUUUGGACCCUAACCCCU